rnacentral:rRNA from 1 species
UACAGAGGGUGCAAGCGUUGUUCGGAAUUAUUGGGCGUAAAGCGCGUGUAGGCGGCUUUGCAAGUCGGGUGUGAAAGCCCUCAGCUCAACUGAGGAAGUGCGCCCGAAACUGCAGAGCUUGAGUGCCGGAGAGGGUGGCGGAAUUCCCCAAGUAGAGGUGAAAUUCGUAGAUAUGGGGAGGAACACCGGUGGCGAAGGCGGCCACCUUGACGGUAACUGACGCUGAGACGCGAAAGCGUGGGGAGCAAACAGG